UUUACCUAAAGAACCAAAGAGUAUGGAUCAUUGCAGUCACGAAAACUUCAAAUCUAGAAUAAUUUAUUCACGUACGGAGCCGUUCAUUGUGGGAGUGUUAUCGUACCUCACAAGUGACGUCAUGUCAGCUGCUGGCGCGUGACGUCGCGAGGUAACAGGAAUCUGCCGCUCCGUCCGUGCACUGAAAUCGGAGGCCGAGCCCGCUUGAGCUGCUAUAUCGCUCUUGUUUUCAGAAGCGGCCUGCCCACAACAACAAGCUGUCGCUUCGUCUGCAGAAUUGGUCUGAUGGAGCAAAGGCACUCGGCGCAGCUCGGUGCAAAAAGGCAACAUUGGGACCAGUGUGCAAACAGCAUGGAUCAUACUGGAAAUUUUACACAGCACCAGAGAACACACAAAGUAGAGAAACCUUUCAAGUGCACUGUGUGUGACAAGGCAUUUGCACGGCCAUCAGUUCUUCAGGCCCACCAGAGAACACAUACAGGAGAGAAACCUUUCAA